GACGAACGCUGGCGGCGUGCUUAACACAUGCGAGUCGAACGGAAAGGCCCUGCUUUUGUGGGGUGCUCGAGUGGCGAACGGGUGAGUAACACGUGAGUAACCUGCCCUUGACUUUGGGAUAACUUCAGGAAACUGGGGCUAAUACCGGAUAGGAGCUCCUGCUGCAUGGUGGGGGUUGGAAAGUUUCGGCGGUUGGGGAUGGGCUCGCGGCUUAUCAGCUUGUUGGUGGGGUAGUGGCUUACCAAGGCUUUGACAGGUAGCCGGCCUGAGAGGGUGACCGGCCACAUUGGGACUGAGAUACGGCCCAGACUCCUACGGGAGGCAGCAGUGGGGAAUAUUGCACAAUGGGCGGAAGCCUGAUGCAGCAACGCCGCGUGCGGGAUGACGGCCUUCGGGUUGUAAACCGCUUUCGCCUGUGACGAAGCGUGAGUGACGGUAAUGGGUAAAGAAGCACCGGCUAACUACGUG
rnacentral:rRNA from 1 species